ensembl:piRNA 21ur-12793 ncRNA
UUUACGAUAAAUUUAAAACUG